rnacentral:rRNA from 1 species
UACGAGGGGGCUAGCGUUGCUCGGAAUCACUGGGCGUAAAGGGUGCGUAGGCGGGUCUUUUAAGUCAGGGGUGAAAUCCUGGAGCUCAACUCCAGAACUGCCUUUGAUACUGAAGAUCUUGAGUUCGGGAGAGGUGAGUGGAACUGCGAGUGUAGAGGUGAAAUUCGUAGAUAUUCGCAAGAACACCAGUGGCGAAGGCGGCUCACUGGCCCGAUACUGACGCUGAGGCACGAAAGCGUGGGGAGCAAACAGG